AUCAAUCUCGGACUAUUGGGUCUCCCGGACAUGUGCGAUGAAGACGAAGGAGCUGAGGGCACAGCUUCCGUAGUCUGUACUCAACUGUUGGGUAAUGAGUACUCGAGUCGAGUGUACAAGUGUCAGAAGUUUGCACAAUGAGUGAAUAAUAAAAAUGUUUUUUCAUGUUCAUUUAAAGUUUAAAAAAUAUCACUUAAACCGGACCGAUAAUUAUAAUUAUCGUUCGCAGCUGAAUCUAAAAAUUAAAAAAUCCGUUGGACAAAUGCAUUCUUCACGAAAUAUUGCCAAUGACGGCAGUAGCGGAUCGGGCUCCGGACGCAAGCCGUCAGGUCAGUUAAAAUCCCAAGGCAAUGUUGCUGUUGUUACAGAUAGAUAUGAAAUGGUGAUGAAACCGUCUACAAGUGCAACUGGCUCGUCCACAAUCAGCAGCGUGGGUCAGGAUAAUGGACAGCCAAAGAACAAAUUGUCUUACAAAGAUAACGCAAGAAAAUUAUGUAAAUGGGGGAAAAAAAAAGUAAAUUCGGUAAAACCUAGUUUACAGUCGUUGGUUCAAUUAGUCCACGGAAAGUCUUCUACAAAGAAAACAGCUGAGGUUGAGUUAGAGUGUAAAACAGAUAAUUCCGACAGGCGUCGUUUUAUACCAAUUGAACAAAUCGACUUUAUAAAGAGGCAUCCAAGAAAAACUAUGAGUUUGUCAAACUUAGAUCGACGUUUUAGGCAACAUUUUAAACCUAUUGGAAACUCUAAUUCUAAAAAGUCAUCUUCAAAGUUAUCACUGGGUCUGCCAAAUUUAGCAGAAAGUUGUUUUGACUUGGAUAAUUUACAUGACGGUAAACCUAUUCGAAAAUAUAAGUCCAUGGUUACAUUAUCAAAUGAAGUUCUCAAUCUACCUAUGAGAAAAAAACCUCAUAGACUGUACCGAUUUGUUGGGAAAGGUUUACAGCGUUUAAGCCAAUUAGCGUUUGCAACAAGCUACUCAACGAGCUCAUCAUUGUGUGGUUCAAUGUCUCGAAGUAAAGAUACAGUAUUAUGUAAAAUAUGUCUCAAUGAUGUCUCCGUACAUGAAAUAUGGACGAUUGAACAAUGUGGUUGCUUUCAUUGUAUACGUUGUACAAAAAUGUACGUGAAGCAUCAAAUCAACCAAGGUGCGUAUAAUAUAUCAUGCCCAGAUGAUCAAUGUUCAUAUAAAGGAAUAAUGCAGAUGAUGGAGAUUGAAGCUUUGGCCAACUCUGAUGAUAUCAAAAAACAUCACCGAUUUAGACUUACUAGAGAGGUUGUAUUGGACAUUAAUCGGAUGUUUUGUCCGAGACCUGGUUGUGAGACUAUAUGUAACGUCAAUGAUUGUAAUAAACCACAACGUGUUCAAUGUCCUAAGUGUAAGGCUAAGUUUUGUGCGGCCUGUCUAACAACGUGGCAUCCUGGUUGGCCGUGUCUUCCACCAGACUCACAGCUACGGCCAAUGUACGAUCCAGAAUUUGUCAAACAUUGUCCCUUGUGUAGUAUUGCAAUUGAAAGAAAUGGGGGCUGUGCUCAAAUCUUGUGCGGAUUUUGUCAGCAUGUUUUUUGCUGGCUUUGUUUGGAAUCAUUAAUCGAUGAUUUUUUCCUAAGGCAUUACGAAAACGGUAAAUGUCAAAAGAUGAUUGGAGUCCCUUUUUCGAAAACAUCCUUUUCAUGGUAUCAAAUUCUAGUUAUUACCACGUUUGCUUUUUUGAAUUUAUCAGUUUUAUUAGCUUAACGAGUUUGCAGUUUGUAUAGCUUGUUCUAAUUAUUAUUGUAUUUUUAUUCAUUGGACAAUUCAAUAGAUGUGCUAUUGUAUGGUAGUCGCUGUUUUGAAAGUGAGUUGGUUUAGAUGCAUUGUGACGGUUUACAUACGUUUAUAAAACAUUUUUUUACAACUUGGAAUUCCAUUACAGUUCAACCUGCUUGUCAACAACUUCAUUAUGAUCACAGGAAAUUCAUGAUUCCGUAAAAAAAAGAAAUUGUUCUCGGUAACUAAAUAAAAAAAAAAAAAAAAUGUAUUUUACAUCUCGAUGCGAUACUUAUUGACUUACUCAAUACUAGUACUUAGGUUUAGAACUAAAUUGUAAUUGUAUUGUUAAUUUAGAAAAAAUUAUGGAGACAUAAUAUAGUAUUAUACUGUAUAAUUAAAACACAAAUAAAUGUAAUAUAG